CCUACGGGAGGCAGCAGUCGGGAAUAUUGGACAAUGGGCGGAAGCCUGAUCCAGCAAUACCGCGUGUGUGAAGAAGGCCUGCGGGUUGUAAAGCACUUUCAGUUGGGAAGAUAAUGACGUUACCAACAGAAGAAGCACCGGCUAACUACGUGCCAGCAGCCGCGGUAAUAAU
rnacentral:rRNA from 1 species